CGGCGAGUAGCGCAGCUUGGUAGCGCAACUGGUUUGGGACCAGUGGGUCAGAGGUUCAAAUCCUCUCUCGCCGACCA
rnacentral:tRNA from 3 species